CAUUUGCCAUUCUGGUAACACUUUAUUUUAAGAUUCACAUGUUAGCCACCAAUACAUACCUAAUUAAUACCUGUAUUAGUGACUUGUAAGGCAUGUGUUAGGCAACAUUAACCAUUUGUUAGGUGUGUAUUCACACAUUUCUUGUUCAUGACGAAUUAGGCCUUUAUUAUUGAUAUAAUCUUAAUAAUGACCUUGUAAGCCUUGAUCUCUACAUACUAAUUAGUAGUAAGUACCAAAAUAGAAUAUGCAUAACCU